CGCAUUCUUCGGAAUGAGUGGCGCACGGCUGAGGAACACGUGACUAACCUACCCCGGUGUGGGGGAUAACGGGUCGAAAGACUCGCUAAUCCCGCAUACGAUCCGCCUCGGCGGAGGAAAGCCGUAAGGCGCACUGGGCGGGGGUCGCGUCCCAUUAGAUAGUUGGUGUGGUAAUGGCGCACCAAGUCGAUGAUGGGUCUCUGGUCUGAGAGGACGACCAGACAGAUUGGGACUGAGACACGGCCCAAACUCCUACGGGGGGCAGCAGCAAGGAAUUUUCGGCAAUGGGCGCAAGCCUGACCGAGCAACGCCGCGUGGAGGAUGACGGCUCUUGGGUUGUAAACUCCUUUUGGGGGGGACGAUAAUGACGGUACCCUCCGAAUCAGGCCCGGCUAACUACGUGCCAGCAGCCGCGGUAAUACGUAGGGGCCAAGCGUUGUCCGGAAUUACUGGGCGUAAAGCGUGGGUAGGUGGUCGGUGAUGUGCCGCGUGAAAGCGCCGGAGUAAUGCCGGCGAGGUCGCGGUAGACACACGGACUCGAGGCUCGCAGAGGAACGUGGAAUUCCCGGUGUAGUGGUGAAAUGCGUAGAUAUCGGGAGGAACACCAGUGGCGCAAGCGGCGUUCUGGGCGAGACCUGACACUGAGCCACGACGGCGUGGGGAGCAAACAGGAUUAGAUACCCUGGUAGUCCACGCAGUAAACGAUGCAUACCAGGUGUGGGAUGGCGUUCGCGUCGUUCCGUGCCGCAGCUUACGCGAUGAGUAUGCCGCCUGGGGACUACGAGCGCAAGCUUAAAACUCAAAGGAAUUGACGGGGGCCCGCAC
rnacentral:rRNA from 1 species